GAAGGAGAAGAACACUGAAUCACUGAAAUGGAGAGGGACCUCAACUCCAGCUUAGCUUUGAUUCCCAGUUUCCUCUGUAAGGAACUCGGUCUCAGGUAAUCCAGUAAUUCAGUAAUUUACCAUAACACUUAAACACUCAAUUUUUUUUAUUUUUUGUUGGAGGAAUGAUAGUUUUAGGAGUUCUUGCAGUGCAUUUUAAAUCGGUUUUAA